AGAGUUUGAUCCUGGCUCAGAACGAACGCUGGCGGCAGGCCUAACACAUGCAAGUCGAGCGCGCCUUCGGGUGAGCGGCGGACGGGUUAGUAACGCGUGGGAACGUGCCCUUCUCUACGGAAUAGCCUCUGGAAACGGAGAGUAAUACCGUAUACGCCCUUUGGGGGAAAGAUUUAUCGGAGAAGGAUCGGCCCGCGUUAGAUUAGGUAGUUGGUGGGGUAAUGGCCUACCAAGCCUACGAUCUAUAGCUGGUUUUAGAGGAUGAUCAGCAACACUGGGACUGAGACACGGCCCAGACUCCUACGGGAGGCAGCAGUGGGGAAUCUUAGACAAUGGGGGCAACCCUGAUCUAGCCAUGCCGCGUGAGUGAUGAAGGCCUUAGGGUCGUAAAGCUCUUUCGCCUGUGAUGAUAAUGACAGUAGCAGGUAAAGAAACCCCGGCUAACUCCGUGCCAGCAGCCGCGGUAAUACGGAGGGGGUUAGCGUUGUUCGGAAUUACUGGGCGUAAAGCGCGCGUAGGCGGAUUAGAAAGUUGGGGGUGAAAUCCCGGGGCUCAACCUCGGAACUGCCUCCAAAACUGCUAGUCUAGAGUUCGAGAGAGGUGAGUGGAAUUCCGAGUGUAGAGGUGAAAUUCGUAGAUAUUCGGAGGAACACCAGUGGCGAAGGCGGCUCACUGGCUCGAUACUGACGCUGAGGUGCGAAAGUGUGGGGAGCAAACAGGAUUAGAUACCCUGGUAGUCCACACCGUAAACGAUGAAUGCCAGUCGUCGGGUAGUAUACUAUUCGGUGACACACCUAACGGAUUAAGCAUUCCGCCUGGGGAGUACGGUCGCAAGAUUAAAACUUAAAGGAAUUGACGG
rnacentral:rRNA from 1 species